UGGGGAAUAUUGCACAAUGGGCGGAAGCCUGCUGCAGCGACGCCGCGUGGGGGAUGAAGGCCUUCGGGUUGUAAACUCCUUUCGACAGGGACGAAGCUUUUGUGACGGUACCUGUAUAAGAAGCACCGGCUAACUACGUGCCAGCAGCCGCGGUAAUACGUAGGGUGCGAGCGUUGUCCGGAAUUACUGGGCGUAAAGAGCUCGUAGGUGGUUUGUCGCGUCGUCUGUGAAAUUCCGGGGCUUAACUCCGGGCGUGCAGGCGAUACGGGCUGACUUGAGUGCUGUAGGGGAGACUGGAAUUCCUGGUGUAGCGGUGAAAUGCGCAGAUAUCAGGAGGAACACCGAUGGCGAAGGCAGGUCUCUGGGCAGUAACUGACGCUGAGGAGCGAAAGCAUGGGUAGCGAACAGG
rnacentral:rRNA from 1 species